GCAGGAGAGAGCUUAUUUCCUCUCUCUGCUCUCCGCCAUGUGAGGACUCAGCUGGAAGUCAGCAGUCUACAGCUUGGAGGUGGGCUCCCACCAGAACCUGACCCUGCUGGCACCCUCAUCUCAGACUUCCAGCCUCUGGAACGGUUUCCCAACCGAAGCUGUCUGCUCUGCCCUGGUGUUAAAAAUGUGUGUUUCAAGAGAUACACAGUGAGAGAGGGAACACAAGCAGGGGGAAUGGGAGAAGGAGAAGCAGGCUUCCCGCGGAGCAGGGAGCCCGACGUGGGGCUCGAUCCCAGGACCCUGAGAUCAUGACCUGAGCCGAAGGCAGACGCUUAACGACUGAGCCACCCAGGCGCCCCUGGUUUUAUAUUUUUAUGAAAGAAGAAAGGGUGUCUAAUUGUCCACUGCGAGUGGUGUGGCUUUCCUUCAGAAUCCUAGGAUUCUUCACUGUGAUCCUCAUAUUGGAGUCGGUUGUAAACUCCAUAUAGCAUCUCCUCCUGCCCCUUCACCGGAUACCUGUAAAACCACAAGUUCUGCAGUGUCCUCUGGCCCAAGUGAAGACGUGCAGCGGGGCUGUGGAACAGCUCUCAGAAGCUCACAUUUAAAUAUGGGAUGAUGUGGAGGCAUCAGGUAAAAUAUUUGUCUGGUUCGGAGCCUGAGUUUCUCAUCAUAAUUCAGUGAAGAUCUUUGACUAGGACUCUGAUUAAUCUCAAUCCCCAUUCCACAGCAUGAUGCCUUGUGGCUAGAAGACACUACAUUCUCUGAUUGAGGGACUGUGGAUUAUGCCUCUUUGUGCUCAGCGCUGUCACUGCAAUUCAAUAAAUGUAUGCUGAAUGAGUUGAUGAAAAUAUCUGAGCAAGUGAAGGCCUUCAACUUUGAGAAGAUCAACAUGAUUGAAAGCAGAAUUUCUGAACCAUAUCUGCUCUUUAGAAUCACCUGGGGGAGCUUUUAAAAAUUCCAAUGCCUGGCCACACCCUAAAUCACUUAAAUCAGAGUCUCUGGAGGUGGGUUCCAGAUAUCAGUUUAUUAAAGCUCCUCAGUUAGCUUCAUUGUGCAGCCAGGUUGAGAGUCAGUGCUCUGGCAGGAUUAAAACAUCUUCAAAAGUUCCGGAUAAUAAGAACAUCAACCACCAGCUGAAGAUGAAAGGAUAUUCCAUUCUUUUCCUGCUCUCAAAUGUCUGGUAUUGAAUACUAUAUUUCCAGCUCAAAAUAAGGGCUUGAAAACUCUUGUGUGUCAUCAUGCCUCCCAGUGUGUUAUGAUCUUGUCUAAGCUGGGCAAGUGUUACAAAUACUGAAUGGCCUUCCUGGUCCUGAAUAUAGAUGUGGGAAGGACAUGCUCUGCUUUGCCACAAGCAUACAUCAGUAGAGAUUUGUUUUCAGCAUAAGAACAAUUACCAUUGUCAUAUUCUGGACUGUGUGCAAAUUGUUUUAUUAUAAACUCACUGUUGGUCCCUAUUUAACUGGGAAAUAAUUUGUUCUAAAUUUAUCUAUUCUCUCUGCAUGGCAUUGACAUUUGCCGACACUGCCAGACUUGCUUCACUUAUAAGAAAAAAGGUUCCAUGGAGAACAGGCAGUGUGCUCUCAUCUAACUGAUUAAUAAUCUCUAGAGGAUCUUUGGAACUGGCAUGUGAACUCUUCCUGCUCUCCUGCUAAUUUUGACUUUCACUGGACUCAGAAACACAAACAAUGGUUUCCAUGAAAUGGAGCUGUAAAAGUUUUCUUCAUCCAACCAGCUCUCUAAAGAAAGAAUGCUCACUGCCAAAGCUUAAAGAUGAGAAAUGAGAUAUGUAAUGAAAAGUUGUUUGUUUUCAAGAGUUUACAAGUCAAUUUGGGUUACUUCAUCCGCCAAAUUUUUAUCUCUGUACUAGGCAACAAUUACAUGUUUUCAGCUUGAAAAAAAAAAAAAAAGUCCACUUUGCUUACCAUGGCAUCUGUAGUAUGUUGAAACCAUUCUGCAAUUUAAUGCAGACAAAGACUUUCUAAAGUCACAUGGUCUGUUUGAGUAAGAGGAGUCCAUUAAGAAUGAACCAAGACAUCAUGUAUUAUCGUGAUUUCUCCCUUUGUGGGUUUUACAAUUUUCCUACAAGCUCUGGUGUUUUAAGAUAACAUUUUGCACAUUGGAUUUAACUACCUGAAAGCCUAUGAUGCGGAAUUGCCAGCAGCCAGUUGGUAGCCUGGAAGGACCUUAUUUAGUCAUGACUAUCUUCUUCAUACUUCUUUGUAGUAUAAAGACAAACUCCUUCAGGGGGAUGUACUGAUUUACAGACAUCCUUUUGUUAUUUUCUUAGAAGUGCUAUUCAAAUCUAGAACUAAGGGAAAAGUCGGAUAUGAAACUUCAGAGUCAUUAAGUGGCACAAUCUGAGUAUAAAUUUUAUGGCACCAGUGAGGGCUCCAGAUCUUGAUAGUGACUGUUGCUAAUCCAAAUAUUGCCACCGAGGAAAGGACACCCAUUAAUAAUUACUAUUCUAAACACAUGGAAGCAGCAGGAAAACCUUUGCUUUAACUAUGGUAUGCAUAGUUAAACAAACUGCGAACAACAAUGGCAUACGUAUGUUCAUGUAAUUAUUUCCUACACGUGUUUCAUUUGGAAACUGGCUAAAACUUAUGUUGCCCACUCUUGAUAAAAAUGAAAAGAAGUAAACAAUGAAAACAAAAGGCAAACUGGUUUAACACUGACUUGCCAAAAGGCUCACUUUUGAAUUGGUAUCUUCACCAGAAAACAAAACGCUGGCUAUUAUUUGGGCUUUGGUUAUAGCUCCACACGUAGUAGGCUGUCAAUAAUAAACAUAGACAGAAUAAAAUGAAUGAAUGGAAGUAUCUAUAAUGUAUAUUUCAACAAUAAGAACCGCAUUUUGAAUAGAAGAUCACAUGUGCUUUCUUUCUUUAAAAAUCUAUAAAAUUUGUAUCAAACCUCACAAUUUUUAUUAUAAGUUUUCAUGAUUAAAUUAUUGCCCCAUCUACUCAGACUGCUUUUAAUAUUGCCUUUGUUCAUGUAACCAUGGCAACAUCUUUGGUAUCUAUACUUCAGGUUCUGAUCUCUCAUUCCACAAUGGGUCACUUUGCUCUGCAUCAUUCAUAACAGAAAUCAUCUGAGGGCACAGGCAGUCUUGGAAUGGGAUUAUAUUUUUCAUGUCCUCUCUGUUAAGGGCUGGGUUGUGUCUCCCAAAAUCCCUAUGCUGAAAUCCUAACUCCUAGGACUUUAGUAUGUGACCGUAUUUGGAGAUAGGGUCAUUAAAGAGGUAAUUAUAUUAAAAUGAGGUCAUUAGGAUGGGCCCUAAUCCAAUAUGACUAGUAUCCUUAUAAGAAGAGGGAAUUCAGACGCAUAUACGCACAGAUGAAGACCAUGGAAAGACACAGGGAUGAAGAUGGCCUGUGUUAAGGAGAGAGGCCACAGAAGAAACCAACUCUGCAACAUCUUGAUUUCAGACUUAAGCUUUUAGAGCUGUGAGAAAAUAAAUUUCCAUUCUUUAAGCCACCCAAUCUGUUUUACUUUGUUACAUGGCAACCUUAGCAAACUAAUACAACUACCUUGAUUUUCUAAAUUUUUGGUCUUCUUCCCAAAUAUCACUAGCCCUUGAAAGUUUUGAAAUAUAUUCUGAGCUUCAUGUUUAUGCAAACUUUCAGGUUUGUUUGCUUUCUCUGCAUCUCCUAGACCACCAAUAAAUCUGACCAUAUGAUUUUUCCCAGAUUUUCUCCUUCUCUGACAUUAACAGUUGCAUAUUUCCUAGUUUUUGCAACAUAUCAAAUAGGAGAUCUUUUAGGAAGUUCCUAUAAACCAGAAAGGGUUUGUUUAUCAUAGUUUUAGCUAAGUCAUCUGAAGAGGAAGAUUUUCUAUCUAUGAUAUGUAGCUGUAUCAUUUAAAAUGGAACUUGGGGAGAAAAUACCAAUAGAUCCAGAUUCAUUUAGACUAUGAAUAUACAUAGGUUGCACAUUAUUAUUUUUCUGUCUUGUAAGCUUGCCCAUUCUAAGUCUAUAGCAAUGAAAAAAUACAAAGACACUGAAACAGAUUAUUAAAACUUGGUAUUUGGCAUGGGAUCCCAUGUCCACUGGGAUUCAGGUUUGGGAUGGGGAGAACCAAGGUCAGCCUGGUAGAGCAGGCAGCCAUCCAAAUGCUGUGAAGAGCUAAGGAAGCCCGGGGAGGGCCUUGUUUUUCAAAUCUUUCCUCAACUCACAAGCCAGGAUUAGACAGGCUAUUGUUAGAGAAUUUAUGUUUCGGGUCAGGAAAACUUUCGGUCAUUAAAAAUUUCUUCCAAAAUCCAAAACAGGAUCAGAGGAGCUGAGCAGCAUUUGGCCCUAUGGUGGUAAUGCAAUGAAAGCGACUUUAUUUAGGGUUAUCAUUAGUCUGACAAAUUGGAAAAACAAAUGAAACAAUCCUUUCCUUUGGAUGAUGUUGGGGACUACUUGAGAGCAUUCCUAAUUAGGGAUUAAAAGCAGUAGCUCUCUGGGGGUUUAGAUGUUAAGCCUGGACUUAAUGUGCCACAGAGCUUAAAGGGCAAGUAUGAUGAUGGGCAUAUCAUGCUCUGCACAUUGAGUAAUUACUAAAGGCUUCCUGUGAGGGCAAUGUGCAAACAGCUCUGUACAAUCAUGCUUAAUGAGAAAUCAUAUUUUAAUGUAUAAUCAUGAAAUGGUUACUUAGAUAGUCUUGGAAGUCUGAAAUUUGUCAUGUUACCAUAGAAAGCAGGCACACGUGCAGAUAUGUUCCUUGUCAUUCCAUUAACCAUAAAUCUCUGUUAAUAGGCACUUCUGAUAUAUUGAUAAUGAAAGGAUGACUAAUGUUUCUAAUGAUGACCCUGAGGCAUGACAAAAUUCUUAAAUGCUUUUUGAAUCUUCAAAGAGAAUAAAUUAUAUUUUUCAUGACCCAAAUUCAUUUUUAUCAUAUUCUAAUUCCCUGGAAAGUAGUAAUUUGUAUAUAGUAUGACACACAUAUCCCACAUGGUAAAUGCAAAAGUAGGGGCUUUGGAAUCAAACAACUUGAUGUAUAUCAUGGCUCUUCAUUUGCUAGCCCAGUGAUUUCAGAAGAGUUCUGUAACAUCACUCACCCUUGGUCUUUGCAUCUGAAAAAUGGGCAUAACAAUAGCUACCUUGCAGGACAUCGUGAGAACUAAAUGAUAUAAAAUCCAAUUGAACAUGCUUGCCACAUAUAGGUGUCAGAAAAGGUUUAAUUCCUGUCUUCCUUGUCCAACACAUUAGUCAAAACACCCCAUUUGCUGACCACAUCAGAUAAAGAAUUUGCUUUGCAUCUAAACAGAGUAGGGGCAUGGAAAAAAGAUUGUAAUAAGAAUAGUAGGAGUAUGUGUCCCUUGGAGGUGGGGCUGCCUUUUACCUAGGCUUGUUUUCAGGGUGCUGGCUGCUGUGGCUUUAAUUUGCAGGCUUAUUUUCUUUAGGAUAAUGAAUUUUUAUUUAAAUUUGGUGAAUUUCCUUUGAGCUCCUUUUAAGUCAUCUGAACAUAGGAAACACUUUUUCAUGCUUUUAGAGUUUUUCUGAUUGACUUUGUUCUCCAAAAAGGGCUGAUUUUAAUAUUCUAAGUGAUAAAAAGUGCCUUUGACACGAUUGAAGCAAUUUAAUUAGUAAAUCCGGAAAUUAUAAAGGAUUGGAAAUCACACCCUCCAUGCUUUUAAUAAAACAGAGUAGUGAAACUUCUGAUAGGUGAAUACCACGUGUUGAAAGAAUUCUGUACCACACACCAAUGAAAGAAAUGAAGAAAUUGAGAGAACUUUGUGAGCGACCUACUAAGGGAAUUACAUGAGUAGGCAAUUAUGUGAUCGGUAUAUAUCAUGGAUCAAAACUUCUGUGGUUUCAUAAUUUAGACAAAGUACUUGUUUAGCAUUUAAUAGUGCAAAAUCGUUCAAGCCACACAUUGAGAUUCAACAUAUUAGGUAGGAAAAGGGAGCUAGCAUAAUCGUGAGGCAGUCUAAUUUUUAAAUUAGUUGACCUCAGAAUAUCUUAAUCCUGGAGUAAGUAAUAUGCAAAGGAUCAUUUAAUGUUGUAGCUAAUAGGACUUUUAGUGUCAGGCUGUCCAUCUCAUGAUGAUGGCGCAUGAAUUAUUUCUAGUCAGUUUACUAUGAGUACUCUCCUAUAGUAUGUCAUCACUAAACAGGGAACAUGGCUAUAACUGCUAGGCAUAAACAUAAUAACAUGUUCAACUGUAAAACUAUCUACAGUAUAUAAAUACAGAUGCUGUACUCAAAAGCACCAUCAUUUUUUAUUGCCUUGGUAAUGGAGUGUUCCAGAGAGACAUGUAUAUGGAUGAUUAGUGAUUGGUGGAUUU